CCCAGACCUCAUUUAAGGGUAGGCAGUGAAAGUAAGGGCAUCUCACUAGAGAUCUCUGUGUAUCUGAGGCCUUCUAAGGGCAAGCACAACAGUGAGCUCCACUGCAGACAGGAAAUCCAGAGCAAAGAAUGAGUCCACGCGUAAAAUAAACUUCAACACAGGCAAAGGGAAUUUCAAGCUGAAGAGCACACAGAUGGCAAGGGGGAGACAGCUGGUGUGACAGGCUGUAUGGAGUAGACAUACAAUUCUUGAGAAGUGCUCCCAGAAUCCCAGUGCCAUAAAAGCUGCUGCUCUUUUUUUGACCCAGGGUGACAUGAUACAUCUGUUUGUGUCUGGUGUGUCUUUACUGCCUUCAUUCUCAGAUCUGAACAUGGCACUUGCACUUAUGAAGCCUUGCCUCCACAUCUGCAAAUAGUCUCACUGCUCGAGUGAAUCCCCCUCUGGGAGUGAAGAUGCAUUGGACAUGGACCAUGUGAAAACGUGUGCAUUUAGUCAAGGGUGCCCCAGAUGUAUUGGAACCAUGCUUUCCAUUCCAGCACCCUCUCUGUUGAAAAUUCAGGAGUAUAUGUUUGUUUAUUUGCUUUGCAUCGUGGGUGUAUACACGUCUGACAUACAUUCUCUUUACAGUCUGAAUCAAUUAUUUUACCUCUCCUCCUUUUGUCCUAUCUCAGCUCGCUUACACUCCAGAGACAUACUGGUCCCAUAGGAAUUGGAGUCAAGAAGAAAAACUAACUCAAUUUAUGACUCUAUAUCAGGGACACUGUACUCAUUUGUUUUUACGUUUGCCCAAAGACCUUAGACUGAAACUCGGAGAUUAAAUUGCAUGCCUUGUGGAGAGAACAGAUGAGAUCUCUGAUCCUUGUCAGUAUAAGAUGAAGAAAAUUCCUUUCUGAUCCCAAAUCUAACACAAUUGCAGCCUGAGCAGAUAAGUAAGAAAAACGUUAAGUUUUAUCUGCUAUUGCUACUUUAUCGUAUCCCUUGUUCCGCAUGUGAUUCAAGCUGUGCAUGAUGGGAACAGCUGACACUCCUGGCGGUACUGUUAGUUCUAGAUCAUGUCCAGUCCAUUUUAAUGAGUGGUUCAGUCAAUGAGCACCAGAAAAACACCUUCCUGAGCCAUGCAGGAGGCUGGCAGAAACCUUGAAAUCUUGAGAUCUGAUUUUGACCACUAUGCUGGUGUAUCCCCGGGAAUGCCUGGACCAGGCUGAGGAUGCCUGACCUGGGCACAGGGAGGGGUCUGACACAGAGAGCCCUGGCCAUGUGGAGGAAAGGCUAUGGGUGGCCAUUCUGGCAUCCAGUCCUCACCUCA